GUGCCUCAGACAUGCAAGUCGAACGCGAAAGUUCCCUUCGGGGGGCAAGUAGAGUGGCGCACGGGUGAGUAACACGUAGGUAAUCUACCUUUGGAUGGGGAAUAACAACCGGAAACGGUUGCUAAUACCGCAUAAUGCAGCGGCACCUAAUGGUGACAGUUGUUAAAGCGGGGGAUCGCAAGACCUCGCGUCUGAAGAGGAGCCUGCGGCGGAUUAGCUAGUUGGUAAGGUAACGGCUUACCAAGGCGAUGAUCCGUAGCCGGCCUGAGAGGGCGGUCGGCCACACUGACACUGACAUACGGGUCAGACUCCUACGGGAGGCAGCAGUCGGGAAUUUUGGGCAAUGGGCGAAAGCCUGACCCAGCAACGCCGCGUGAAGGAUGAAAUCCUUCGGGAUGUAAACUUCGCAAGAACGGGAAGAAUAAGUAAGGGUUAAUAUCUCUUACGAUGACGGUACUGUUUGUAAGCUCCGGCUAACUCCGUGCCAGCAGCCGCGGUAAUACGGGGGGAGCAAGCGUUGUUCGGAUUUACUGGGCGUAAAGGGCGCGUAGGCGGCCACCGCAAGUCGACUGUGAAAUCUCCGGGCUUAACCCGGAAAGGUCAGCCGAUACUGCGGGGCUAGAGUGCAGAAGGGGCAACUGGAAUUCUCGGUGUAGCGGUGAAAUGCGUAGAUAUCGAGAGGAACACCUGCGGCGAAGGCGGGUUGCUGGGCUGACACUGACGCUGAGGCGCGAAAGCUAGGGGAGCGAACGGGAUUAGAUACCCCGGUAGUCCUAGCCUUAAACGAUGAAUGCUUGGUGUCUGGGGUUUUAUAGUCCCCGGGUGCCGUCGCUAACGCUUUAAGCAUUCCGCCUGGGGAGUACGGUCGCAAGACUGAAACUCAAAGGAAUUGACGGGGACCCGCACAAGCGGUGGAGCAUGUGGUUUAAUUCGACGC
rnacentral:rRNA from 1 species